rnacentral:rRNA from 1 species
GACGAACGCUGGCGGCGUGCUUAACACAUGCAAGUCGAGCGGUAAGGCCCUUUCGGGGGUACACGAGCGGCGAACGGGUGAGUAACACGUGGGUGACCUGCCCUCAGCUCUGGGAUAAGCCUGGGAAACCGGGUCUAAUACUGGAUAUGACUCCAUGACGCAUGUUGUGGGGUGGAAAGCCUUGUGCGGCUGAGGAUGGGCCCGCGGCCUAUCAGCUUGUUGGUGGGGUGANGGCCUACCAAGGCGACGACGGGUAGCCGGCCUGAGAGGCGACCGGCCACACUGGGACUGAGACACGGCCCAGACUCCUACGGGAGGCAGCAGUGGGGAAUCUUGCGCAAUGGGCGAAAGCCUGACGCAGCGACGCCGCGUGAGGGAUGACGGCCUCGG